rnacentral:rRNA from 1 species
UACGGGGGGGGCAAGCGUUGUUCGGAAUUACUGGGCGUAAAGGGCUCGUAGGCGGCCAACUAAGUCAGACGUGAAAUCCCCAGGCUUAACCUGGGAACUGCGUCUGAUACUGGAUGGCUUGAAUCCGGGAGAGGGAUGUGGAAUUCCAGGUGUAGCGGUGAAAUGCGUAGAUAUCUGGAGGAACACCGGUGGCGAAGGCGGCAUCCUGGACCGGUAUUGACGCUGAGGCGCGAAAGCCAGGGGAGCAAACGGG